GAGCUUACUUUGUCAGCACAUGUACUAGAAGGGGAGUGUUACAGAGAAGAUUAGUAUGGCCCCUGUGCAAGGGCGACAUGCAAAUGCGUGAAGCAGUCCACAUUUUU
ensembl:snRNA U6 U6 spliceosomal RNA